GGACAUGUCACGUUGAAAGCCCGGUUCACGUGCGAUCACCGAAGUUAAGCAACGUCGAGUCUGGUCAGUACUUAGAUAGGUGACCACUUGGGAAUACGA